CCCUUAGAUGUUCUGGGCCGCACGCGCGCUACACUGACGAUGGCAACGAGUUUUUCCUUCGCCGAAAGGUGUGGGUAAUCUUUUGAAACAUCGUCGUGCUGGGGAUAGAUCAUUGCAAUUUUUGAUCUUGAAAGAGGAAUUCCUAGUAAGCGCGAGUCAUCAGCUCGCGUUGAUUACGUCCCUGCCCUUUGUACACACCGCCCGUCGCUACUACCGAUUGAAUGGUUUAGUGAGGACUCCUGAUUGGCGCCGCCGCCCCGGCAACGGAGCAGCGGACUGCCGAAAAGUUGUUCAAACUUGAUCAUUUAGAGGAAGUAAAAGUCGUAACA
rnacentral:rRNA from 1 species